GCCCGGGUGGCGAAACAGGCAGACGCAAAGGACUUAAAAUCCUUUGGUGGGCAACCACCGUGCGGGUUCAAGUCCCGCCCCGGGUACCA
rnacentral:tRNA from 1 species